UACAGAGGUCCCAAGCGUUGUUCGGAUUCACUGGGCGUAAAGGGUGCGUAGGCGGCGAGGUAAGUCGGGUGUGAAAUCUCCGGGCUCAACUCGGAAAUGGCAUUGGAAACUACCUUGCUAGAGGGUUGGAGGGGGGACUGGAAUGCUUGGUGUAGCAGUGAAAUGCGUAGAUAUCAAGCGGAACACCAGUGGCGAAAGCGAGGCCCUGGACAAGUCCUGACACUGAGGCACGAAAGCUAGGGGAGCAAACAGG
rnacentral:rRNA from 1 species